GUCACCAGAAGACCCUCGAUAUUCACCUCCCUGUGAAAUUAAUCAUAAUGUACUUAAUUUGUAGCCUAACAAACUACAUGAUUCCCCGACGAGUCGUAGUGGGAGGACUGCAAAACAUGUCACGUGACUCCAAAUUUACUUCGAUAAAAUGGUUAUAUCAAUAUUUGUGCAUAAAAGCGUUUCCGCCGACAUUUCUCCCAUAAUACAUUUUAACGACACAAAAAGGUUCCACCUUGUCUAGCGUAUUUAGUUUAGUUUACAUUUGGACAGUUUACCGAAACUUCCUGUUUCCAUCACAGCUCUCGUGAAUGUGUUUUUAUACCGUAUGGCGUCAGAAAAAGAAUCGCGAUGGGAACCUGGUUUGUGUUGCAAUUUCACGGGGGCGAGCACACAUGAGUCUCACGAACGCGCAGGGGAUUACAGGAAAGUUUGAGUUGUGCGGAUACACGUCAGUUUUUUUUUGUUCGUUGUUGGUUUACUAAAGAUAGUUUGCUUUAUCGACUGUAUUUUUGUACUUGUUGUUAUUUUUGUAAGGAGAAAAGUGGUGUGCCUGAAGGUGACCAGCAAGCAAAUAUUUCUCAGCAGAUCCAGCUAGCUAAUCUACUUCCUCAGGAAACUGAUGUCAUUGCUUUGUACGGGACACCCCAGCAGGUCCUCCAGCAGACGCUGCCCCUUCUGUCUUCCAGAUGCUGCUGCCCACCAUCAGACAAGUUAGAAAGCAAGGGCUGGAGGGGCACCAAAAUGGCUGAAAGAUGCCCCACACCACCCGUGCUAUAACACCUCAUUGAACUGCAGUUCUGGCUGAUGACCUGUCUCCAUAGCUGAUAGAAACUAAGAAGGAAUAUCGUCCCCAAUGAUACCAAUAUUUCUAACUGUACUGAUGAGGAAGAGGGCAGACUUAUGUUGUCGCUGAAUUGCUUGAAGUGUUCAGUCAAAAUUACAGUGCCACUUUGAUGUUUUCAAAAAUAACAAUCCAGAAAUGUUCUUGCUCUUCAAUGAGGUUCUGCCAAUCAUAUGUUGGAAACCUACAGUAGUAACUUUUUUGUUGAACACCAGUGAUUCUAAGAAUAACUGUUACUUGUAGGACAAUGUCUCCAUCACAGGUCACCAAGGGUACAGUACGGUGUAUAUCCUUAAUAAAACAAUUUGAUGGUUAAUUUUGCAUGCCUCAUUUUCCAGUCGACAUGGAACAAAUCAAUCUGAAAUAUAGUUUUACCUACAGUAUGACUUGCAUAACCAACUCAGUGCCCUCGCUGAGAUUAAAAGGUUGGACAGCUCUAUCCCUGGCCUAGUCAUACUAAAGACUAAAAAUGGGACCCGAUGCAUCUCUGCUUGGCACUCUAGAUGGAUAGAUAAAUAGAUUGGGGAUAAGGCCAUGCGAAAGACUAGCAUCUUGUCCAGGGGAUGUACCCCUAGUCGUAGACUGUUCUCUAUGCUACAGCAUGGCAAGCGGUACCGGAGUGCCAAGUCUAUGUCCAAGAGGAUUCUAAACAGCUUCUACCCCCAAGCCAUAAGACUACUGAACAUCUAAUCAAAUGGCUACCCAGACUACUUGCAUUGCCUCUCCCCCCCUUUAUUAUCGAUGCAUAAGUUACUUUAACUCUACCCUCGUAUAGAUUAUCUCAACUAACUGGUGUCCCCACUCAUUGACUCUGUACCGGUACCACCUGUAUAUAGCCUCACUAUUGUUAUUUUGCUGCUGCUCUUUAAUUAUUUGUUACUUUAUUUCUUAUUUUUGUAGGUCUUUUUCUUAACUGCAUUGUUGGUUAGGGGCUUGUAAGUACGCAUUUCUCUGUAAGGUCGACACCUGUUGUAUUCGGUGCAUGUGACAAAUACAUUUUGAUUUGAUGGUGCCUUGACAUAUGACAACCGCAGUUUUUGUGAAUACUGUCCCACCAAGGACUAACUCAAAGACUAACGUUAAUGGCCAAAGGGGCCGUUCUCCCUCGCUCUCUGUCACUGUCAAAUAUAUAUAUAUUUUAUUUGUUUAGACCAGAAUAAUUCUUAGUAGGUUAUGUCUCUGUUCAUCUCUUAAAUGUGUUGACUUGCCUCACCAUGGCCAGCUAGCUAGCUAGCUAGCUAUUACCACAAGCCUGUCCUCCCCAAUUAAGGUGCCACCUGUGGUAACUACAUAUACUAGCCAUCAUAUUGCUUGUAGCAAGCACCAUGCCUGAGCUGUCUCCUCAUGAAUUUCUUGCUCACCGGCUGUCCUAGCCAGCAUAGCAAAGAUUAUCUACACUGAGUGUACAAACUAUUUGGAACACCUUCCUAAUAUUGAGUUGCACCCACUUUUGCCCUCAGAACGGCCUCAAAUCGUCAGGGCAUGGACGACAAGGAGUCGAAAGUGUACUACAAGGAUGCUGGCCCAUGUUGACUCCAAUGCUUCCCACAGUUGUCAAGUUGGCUGAAUAUACACUGCUCCAAAAAAUAAAGGGAACACUUAAACGACACAAUGUAACUCCAAGUCAAUCACACUUCUGUGAAAUCAAACUGUCCACUUAGGAAGCAACACUGAUUGACAAUACAUUUCACAUGCUGUUGUGCAAAUGGAAUAGACAACAGGUGGAAAUUAUAGGCAAUUAGCAAGACACCCCCAAUAAAGGAGUGGUUCUGCAGGUACGGACCACAGACCACUUCUCAGUUCCUAUGCUUCCUGGCUGAUGUUUUGGUCACUUUUGAAUGCUGGCGGUGCUUUCACUCUAGUGGUAGCAUGAGACGGAGUCUACAACCCACACAAGUGGCUCAGGU
rnacentral:lncRNA from 1 species